AUUGAACGCUGGCGGCAGGCCUAACACAUGCAAGUCGAACGAGUGGCGGACGGGUGAGUAAUGUCUGGGAAACUGCCUGAUGGAGGGGGAUAACUACUGGAAACGGUAGCUAAUACCGCAUACCAUCAGAUGUGCCCAGAUGGGAUUAGCUUGUUGGGGGGGUAACGGCUCACCAAGGCGACGAUCCCUAGCUGGUCUGAGAGGAUGACCAACCCCACUGUAACGGCGAUACGGUGCAGACUUCGAAGGGAGGCAGCAGUGGGGAAUAUUGCACAAGGGGCGCAAGGCUGAUGCAGCCAUGCGGCGUGUAUGAAGAAGGCCAUCGGGUUGUAGAGUACGUUCAGCGGGGAGGCGGUACCCGCAGAAGAAGCACCGGCUAACUCCGUGCCAGCAGCCGCGGUAAUAC
rnacentral:rRNA from 1 species